ACAUACGACCAUAUCCAGCUAUAGAAAAAAAUAUACGGUAUCCCGUCCGCUCUGCCCUCAUUUUCAAAAUGGCUGAGAGUCGAACCAGGACUCAGGUUGGGUGACCGCUGGGGAAUCCUCGAUGUUGUGUGUU
rnacentral:rRNA from 1 species